AUGAACGCUGGCGGCGUGCUUAACACAUGCAAGUCGCACGAAGCACUUUAUUUGAUUUCCUUCGGGACUGAUUAUUUUGUGACUGAGUGGCGGACGGGUGAGUAACGCGUGGGUAACCUGCCUUGUACAGGGGGAUAACAGUUGGAAACGGCUGCUAAUACCGCAUAAGCGCACAGCAUCGCAUGAUGCAGUGUGAAAAACUCCGGUGGUAUAAGAUGGACCCGCGUUGGAUUAGCUAGUUGGUGAGGUAACGGCCCACCAAGGCGACGAUCCAUAGCCGACCUGAGAGGGUGACCGGCCACAUUGGGACUGAGACACGGCCCAAACUCCUACGGGAGGCAGCAGUGGGGAAUAUUGCACAAUGGGCGAAAGCCUGAUGCAGCGACGCCGCGUGAGCGAAGAAGUAUUUCGGUAUGUAAAGCUCUAUCAGCAGGGAAGAUAAUGACGGUACCUGACGAAGAAGCACCGGCUAAAUACGUG
rnacentral:rRNA from 1 species